UUUUAAAUUAGGCAAAGGCUACAACAACUCCACUCUGUUAGAGAUUAUAGUUUUGGAAACAGAAAACUGUAUGGAGAUCAAUUACAUAAUUAUCAGAAUGUCGGUCAAAAUCCGUCUUGCGCCAUCUUCUCCCACUGCUGGCAUUUGGGCUUCACAUUUAUACAUCAGAGAGAAACGACCAUUUCCAGUAUGGCUUUUCUCCUUGUGAAAUGCAAGGUGUCCCUGCCCACAGGCAGCAGACUGCAUCUAAGAAGGGUGGCACUCUGCAGUCAUCCUGAGGUGCUUGCCUCUGGCAUUUGCAGCUUCUCACAGGCCCAAAGGCCAAACUGAGAGAGGCAAGUGGCGUCCCCAUGGGCACUGAAUACAGUGAUGGAAGGCUACGAACUCCAAUUCCGAUGCUGGCCACCGCUAUUGUUCUGGCACCUCAAAUGUCUCAGGGUCUAGUGUUGACGCCCUGGUUGACUGAUUGUUUCCGAAUGAGUUCAGAUGAAGGAGCAUCAACCUACAUCCUAACCCCUCAUUCUGGCCACGGGUUCUGUCUGACAGACACGUUAACCGGCCAUUAUAGUUGUCCACAUACGCCCCUCUCGCUGUUGCGGAUGAACUAGGGGCUUUCCCCAGUGUGUUGUGCCCGGCUAGGGCAAUGGACUCUUUUCACAGUCGCAGCAUUUCAGCUGGCCUUUGCCUUUUGCUGUGGUGGCACAUUCUACUGGAGGAGUAACUGCCUGGACGAUUGAAUAGUCUGCCCCAUCCAGGGAACAGGCCACAACGGACACGAGGACCCUCUUGAACCACAUUUUAGUUCUGGGCCUUACCCUAAAUAAGGAGAAGAUUCACCUGACCCCUCACGGAAGGUGAUCUACCUCGGGAUGUCUAUAGACUCGACUCUCUCCAUAGACUCGACUCUCAUGAGGGCACGUCUCCCUCAAGUGAGAGUAACAAAA